rnacentral:lncRNA from 1 species
AUCUUUCUUGUUCCAUGAAAUGCAAGUGGUUUCAUUACAAGUAUUUGGCAUUUAAUAGCAUUUGGUGAGGAGUUUACGGCUGAAUCAGGGGUGCACGGUUUCCUUGAUUUGAUGAUGAAAAGUAACAUCACUUUUAAUUGAAGAAAGAGAGAGCACCGGUGUCUUAGGUGGCAGCUGCAAGAUUGUUGAUGUGUUAGCAUUGGGAUGUGUCCAUGAAUGAAGAGGUAUUGUGGAACCAAAUGGGACAAGCUGCAACAACACGUCAGAGUAUUUCAUUGCUUCUAUUUCCUUGCUUUUCAUCAUUUGAAGGCUGAAU